rnacentral:rRNA from 1 species
UACGAAGGGAGCUAGCGUUGUUCGGAAUCACUGGGCGUAAAGCGCACGUAGGCGGCCAUUCAAGUCAGGGGUGAAAGCCUGUGGCUCAACCACAGAAUUGCCUUUGAUACUGUUUGGCUAGAGACCGGAAGAGGUAAGUGGAACUGCGAGUGUAGAGGUGAAAUUCGUAGAUAUUCGCAAGAACACCAGUGGCGAAGGCGGCUUACUGGUCCGGGUUCUGACGCUGAGGCGCGAAAGCGUGGGGAGCAAACAGG